AGAAGCCCUCUCCUUUUGUUUUUAUUUUCGCCUUAACCGAUUGUUUACAUGUUUAUGAGUGCUCCUCAGCCAGCUUCUCCGCCUUCAGAACCACCUCCUCGAUGGGGCCAACCAUGUAGAAGGCCUGCUCGGGCAGACUGUCGUACACGCCUGCAGGGAAACAAACUGGAACUCACUGCUUGGUGGAGAUGGGACCCCUCUCGUCGAUGGGCUCCCCGAUGACAUUCAUAAUCCUGCCCAGAGUCUCGGGACCCACUGGGAUUCUGAUGGGAGCACCAGUGUCCAGAACUUUCUGUCCACGGACCAGACCCUCGGUACCAUCCAUAGCAAUGGUACGCACUGUGUUCUCCCCUGCAAAACAACAUGAGGAAUUGAUUUCCUGCUGUAUGGAUGGAAUGUUGUUCCACACAGGACUGAAAGUUAUACUUCGCAGCUACUCACCCAGAUGCUGUGCCACCUCCAGGACUAGCCUGGACUCGCGGCCGGCGACCUCCAGGGCGUUCAGGAUGGGAGGAAGGUCCUCAUCGAACUGGACGUCGACGACGGCGCCGAUGACGGCCACAAUGCGCCCGGCGGCGACGGUGACCGCGGCGGCAGGUGCGACAUAUUCCCUGCCUGCACCACCUUCAUCAUCCUGUGGACAGUCUGACAGUGCAGAUCAUCGACUCUCCACGGGCAAGUUCCACGGCGCACUGGACGAGGAAGCGAUGCUCUGCUUCCCAAGAGGAGGUGAGAAUAGGCUCAUAGAUGGAAACAGAUGGCAGCUUGCGGCCCAGGGAGGCCUUUGCAGUCAGAGCUUCAGAGUUCUCUUCUCUGUUCUUACUGAAAGCUUCGCCUGCAGAAUGGCUCGGGGCGACAUAGCCGCGUCGGCCUGUCUGUCAGCCAAAAGUCUGAAAUAG
ensembl:lncRNA